UACGUAGGGUGCAAGCGUUGUCCGGAAUUAUUGGGCGUAAAGAGCUCGUAGGCGGUCUGUCGCGUCGGAUGUGAAAAUCCAGGGCUUAACCCUGGGCCUGCAUUCGAUACGGGCAGACUAGAGUGAUGUAGGGGAGACUGGAAUUCCUGGUGUAGCGGUGAAAUGCGCAGAUAUCAGGAGGAACACCGAUGGCGAAGGCAGGUCUCUGGGCAUUAACUGACGCUGAGGAGCGAAAGCAUGGGGAGCGAACAGG
rnacentral:rRNA from 1 species